rnacentral:lncRNA from 1 species
UUUCUUUUUUUAAGAGAAUGAGAGGGGAGAAAAAAAAAAAAGAUACUAUAUGGCGAUGAGCUCCUCCCGCUGCCCUGCCAGCCUCAUCUGUCAGCCAUUAGUUAAUCAGGGCCGGUAACGCGGCGCUCAGAGGAGCUGGCACGGUGCGUGGGACCGGAGGACAGCUUCACCUCUGGGAGCAAGAGGAGGGCAAGGACUCAGGGACAUCUGCAGCGCCGACCCACAGCUGGCUGGCUUCACUCAGCAGCACCCACUCAGGACUGGCAGGCGGCCGCCGCAGGACGACUCCACCCUCUCUGCUUUCCUCAGGGCCUCGUUGGGCGAGGAGGUUUGUGAAGAGAGAAGUCAAAACAACACAUGUUAUCAGCAUGGGAACAGCUGGUAAGAGCGGAGUCCUGGAGAGAAGAAUGUCAAGAGUCAUAGAUCUUUUAUCCAUCGGGCCAAAAUACCCAGCCUGACUCAAAAGCCACACACAGGAACAGGCUGAAAUCCCAACAUUUACACGCUGAACUCAUUGCUCUUUAUCUAAAACUAACUCCAUCCCUUGAUCCUACAGGAUAGGAUAGGAUAGAGGUGAAACUGUAGAGUGACAGGCUGAUUUUGCUGUGCUAUUUGUCCCAGGGUGCGCUUGACUAUACGACGUGGAAAUAAUUUCCCGUCUCCGUCUGAGCAGUUUUUGACAAACUGUCAGCUGCGAGAGAAAGUCAAAUCAGCUUAAAGUCGAGCAGCGCGCCGUGACUCCAUGGCUCAGUGUGAGUCUGCCAUCUCUGAAGAGUUAAAUAAACAGCGCUGAGUAGGCACACACACCGUCUCCGGCACAGUUUCCUUUUUCAGUCAGCACCACUCAGAAAAGGCACAAGUAACCAAAAGUAGAGACGAAAUGACAAAAACAGCAGAGUUUUCAACUCUUGAAACAUUUCACUGAGAUAAUUGGAUUGUACUCAAAAAUCCAACAAACAAACAUGAUGGUGAGAACUGAAGGAAAGGAGUACACAACAUAUUGAUGACAGAACCUGAAAAACUACAAGCAGCAGAGCAGUCGUAAAGUAAUAAAAUAGUGACCUUUGACAUGUGGCUUCCAAGUCUAACUCCCUCUUCCUGCUAAAUGUUACACAGCUGCUUUUCUAAUCUGUCAAAGCAGCCGGCCCGCCACAGCUUGAGAGGAAAAGACGAUCUUGACCUUGCAUUUGUGUUCAAAAACAGCUCGAAAGCCCAGAUGCAGGAGGAUGGAUCCUGUUUUCCUGCACUUUCUUUAAUCAAAGUGAGACUGAAGAUCUGAGAUCUUCACAUGCAGAUAGCAGUUUAUCAGCAGUGUUUAGAGAUCCAACCAAUAUCCUUCCGUGCAAACGUCUUUCUCAGCCUUGUGUUGUUUUUUGAAUCACUGCUAACUCUGUGCCUGGUCUAAGUCAAGCCCAUGGAUUCCCCCAAGAUGUUGCCUCCAACCAUGGAAAAAUUAAAAAUU